CGACAGAGCCCUGAGGACGGCAAGGGACCCUGAGCGCAUUUCCUUUUCCGUCCAGGAGCCCACUGAAAACCUCAGAGCCACAGGAAUCCCCGAAUCCAAGCGGGGCUCAUUCUUAGGGAAGUGCUGUGAGCUACAGUAUCCUCGUUCUCUGCGGGGGACUGGUUCCUGGAUCUCCCCAUGCCCGGGAAUACCGAAAUCCGAGGAUGCCCAAGCCCCGUACAUAAACGCGGAGUACUGGCAUGAGACAGAGGCUGACCUUUGAGGGAGACCGACACGUUAUUGACCCCUCGCCGGCAGGGAGGCAUCUCCGGGGGCUCUGCGUCCAGCACACGUCUCACGUGGCUGAGGCUAUAGCCAUGGAUGGAGUCGGUGCUGAGGCCCA